CUCUGAAGAAAAUUCUGUUUGUCCUGCCUAGACUCACUCAUGUGGCCCUUGGCAGCUCAACUGGAUGGGCUGGGUCUCUGGCCUGUCAUACCGGUCUUCUUCACAAUAUGGUGGUGUCAAGAUUCCAAGACCAUAGCCCCAGUGAUCUUCAUAAAGUAAUGAAUAAUAUUUACAUUUGGAAGAAAGAAGAGGGAAGAAGAUUAAAAAAAAAAAGAAAGAAGAGAUUGUUAUUUUGAGAAAACGACUAUUUAAAGUUGUCUUCAUAUGGACACUUGCUGAUUGCACAGCAUCUGCAAGCUGAAACAUCCAAAUGGUUGAGAUAUAAAGGCAGUUCUUUAUCCAGUUGACAAGAACUUUUUCUGAACUACCCUUGUCUGUGCAAGUGGCAGAAUGGUUAAAUUAGGCUGGAGCUACCUUCCAUCUACUCCCCAGACAUCAGAGCAAGAAAUGGUGGUUCUAGGCAGAUACAGCUGAGUUCAAGUUCCUUCUGCAGCGAGAUUUCCUUCCCGUCAGGAUGUGGCUGCAUUCUACCUAGUGAUUUUACUGAUGGAUAACUUAAAAUAGUGGGAGAUGCUGUUGGAAAUCUGUGCCCUGCAGCCUGAUCACCAAUGGCCAGCACCUGCAUCUGUAUAAGAGGGCUGGCUUCAGGCUGCUGGAAUCUACUCUGCCAGUAUGGAACAGUCCAAAUAAAACAGAAUCAGAGCUUGAACUCAUGACCACUGACCUCUGACCUGGAUGAAGUUACACAUCUCAUUCUACAUUUACCAUAUUAAACCAAUCCACAAAGAAAAAAACUUCCUAGAACAGUAUAUUAUCUCCUAUUUCUAUUCCUUGUCUUUCUGCUUCCUUCUAUAGAAACUCCUCUUCUUGAUCUGUCUUUCCCCUGCUAUGUUCCCCACUAAUAGAGCACAUUUCCAUCACUCCUUGGAUCUACUACUUCCCAUGACCUUAAGUUGUCAACUUCUUUGAAUUUUUAAAGAUCAUUCCUUUUAUUAAACUAUAGUAGCAUCUGCAUAAAAUGUAUUUUACCAAAGCAUGAUCUGUAAAACCUAAAAAAUGAAGACAGCAAGUGUUGGAGGCUAUGAGGGUGACCCAGAGAAUCCUUGGUCAAUAGAAGGACAGGAGGCAGCAGUCAUUGGGUAAGGUGCCUUUCUUUUAAUAAAAUGCACUAGGGACUCAGUGCCCAUAGCCCUGUUCUCAGCAUGGCCAGGAGGAAGCAAGCAUUUACAUAGCUACUCAACACUGAAAGGCUACUGUCAGUUGCAUCUCUUGCAACUAAAAUAUGAAUGUAAGGAUUGUCAAAAUGGGGAGAGAUGUAGGUGAGGAAGAAAACAUCACAAGGGGAGCGUAUGUAGAUUAGAUGUCUUGCCCUGCUGUGCUACAUUUGCGGUACAUGAACACAGGAAGGGGAGGGCACAUCUCUGUAUUGUUUGCAUGUGCUGGGCUUAAAAAAUGAAUAUUACUGUGCUUUUAAGGUAGAUUAUGCCAACGAUGUGGCUUAAGUAGUGAUUUCUGCCAGUGUCAGGGUCCUGGCUAGAGACAGGAGGAACAGGCUAUUAACACCUGCAAUGCCAAUGCUUUUUGUUUCUGGUUAGAGAGAAGCUCCUGCACCAGGAAACACACCAAAGCAGAUACCAAGGACUGGGGAGAAGGGUGUGGUUUCCCAAAUAGACGUGUAAAUAUGGCAAGAGUUGGUGCCUUUUUAUCUGAGAGUUGGUGCAAUAGAACCCAGUGACUCAGUCAAUCUGGGAAAGAGCCUCAAUGCUGUCAGUUAAGUCAUCAUUUCACAUGGAGCUUUGCUGCAAUUUUCACUGCAGUUUUUGUGAACUCAAUUAACUCGUAUGGAACAUUGCUCCAGCUGACUAGAUGCAAAUGGUCCUGGUUAUCAUAUGGUAACUCCCACCUAACAGAAACUUGCUUUUUUUUUUUUAAUGUAAGUUCUAUGCCAAGUCACAUGCUGUUACCAAUUGAGCCAUCCAGGCACUCCAAAAUGGUGACUCUUUACAAAAAAUAAAUAAAUUAACUCAAUGUGGGGCUCGAAUUCCCAACCUCAAGAUCAAGAGUUGCAUGCUCUACAAACCGAGCCAGCCAGGAACUGUUGCUUUUGAAUGUUCUGUCUCAGAGCCUGUUGUUCUGAGACAGUGGUCUUUAAUUCAGAGCAUCAUGGGUGGCAUUUUGAGUAUCAUUCCUAAGAUAUUGGUACCACAGUUCUGUUUUCUUACAACUAUCCCUGUCUGUCCUCACCUGAACAAAGGCCCUAGUUUUAAUGAUGGCGUCCACAUGUACACACAGACAUAAAGGGUUCAUUAUUUCUAAUCGAAGAACAGAAACUUAGAGAAAUAAAGCAUUACCUGCCAUUUUCGUGAUCAACACUUGCAAUAGAGAGCAUAAAUGCUUCACUUUACAGAAAUAGCUAGACCUUUGUGAACCCUCCCAGUGAUUAAUUAGGAAGCCUGUCUUACAGAUUUUUCUCUCAGGUGUAGUAACCUUGUAGCCCUUACCAUUAAGAACUAAUAAAUAAAUGCUUGGUUAAGCAUAAACAGGGUGAUAGGCAGUGAAAGAAUGAUGAUCUUGGUUUUUAUGCAAUAUGCUCACUCUGUCAUUUUACCUUGGAGGACAAAAUAAUAUACAGAACCAAAAGUUACAAAAGCAACUACAGUGAGCAAUUUGUUAGUAUCCACUUAAAAAUGUUAAUAGCCCUCACUAUGAAAGAUCUUUGUGGUUAAUCAUGUAAUAUGAUUAAUUCUAAAAAAUUCAUGAUUUUAAGAAAGUGUUUCAAAUUUUGCAAUUAAACUGAAGACAUGUACUAGGUAAAGACAUCUAGAGGGUGAUCAGAUGUUUAAAUUUACUGUAAAAAUAGGAAGUAAACUAGAUCACAAAGCAAGUACUCAAAAUCACAUGGAAGCCUGCCCAUUUAGCAAAUAUUUGAGUAGCCGAUUUGCACAAAUGUUGUAAGUGACCUAUCAUAUUAAACACAACUCCUCAUCUCCUUCCCAUAUAUUUUAUGCCAGUAAACCCAGAUAACUGCCAAAGGCUCCCAUCAUCCUUUUUAAAUAAACUUUAGAAAGUAAUAUGUCAAGCUGGGAACUUUGACAAUCAUGAAAUGUCAUCUUAAUCUUCAAAAUUUUAACUUCUUUCAUGAACAUGACAAUAAAAAGUAGUUAACGUCAUUACAGCUUUGCAGUCAGAAUCCCACAAACAUGACAGUGUACUUAGAAAAAAAAUUCAAACUAGCUGAUGACAAAAUAUUUGGAUAACUAUCUGAAUCUAUAAAUAACUAAUUCAUCCUAAAAGGAUCUUUAGAGCAGCAACAAAUUAUUUUAUAAAAUCUAGGACACAAUAUGUGAGUCAGAUCAUUCACUUUUGUUCCUGGUGCAAUGUGGGUUAUGAAAAUCUGAUAAACUUGUACUUCUUUGAAAAUUGCCAGCUCAGUCAAGAAUUUCCCUUAAACCAAAAUAGGACUUGAGACAUACACAAAAAUAUAUUCUUUAGGUAGAAUAAAGAGUUCAGAUCUACAUUUUGCUCUCUCAAGCCCACAAAAAGUAUCUCCCAAAGAUGCUGCCUUAUAUCUUGAAUAAUUCCUAAAUAAAAAAUUGCUGAUUUACUUGGAUAAGAGAGCCCUGGAUUAGGUGUGAACAGGGAGUAAGAGAGCUACCUAAAAAUAUCACAGAUCUUUGCAAAUCCUCUUUCUGUUACACAGAAUGUUAGCAUGGCCCUUGCAUUCAAACAAAUGCAAAAAACUAAAGACCAUUAAAUAAACUGUAAGCUCUUUUUGCAAAAAACAACUUUAGCUUUCUUUGUAAUUCUUCCAAAGAUUAACAUGGUGCCACUGUGAGCUUCCUACAUACACUGAUCAAAUGGGUCUUACCUUCCCCCACCCAGGAACAAAUGAAAAGGAAGAAUAUCCAAAAGACAACAUCAGAAAGAUGCUCCGGUUUUCUGGGUAUUUAAUUAAUAUCCACUUUUCUGGAUAUUUUAAACUGUUCAUUAAUAAAACUAUUUAUAUGCUCUCAUCUAUAGAGAGCAGUUAAUAGUGACUAAAAUCUCACUACCCAGAAAUAACUUCAAUAUUUGGUGAAUGUCUUUCUAAGCAUCUAUGUUCAUACAAAAACAUAGAAAAAUUUUUAAAUAGGAUAAUUUUAUAAAUGAUGGCUUUAAUAACAAAUAACAAAGAAAAAAGUGAAGUGAAAGGGAAAAAUGGACUUCUGAGAACUGUUUCCUCACUGAAUUGUUAGAAUUCCUUAAAAAAUCCUUUAAAUUUAUUUAAGGAAAAAAAAUACUAUGAAAGAACUAGAAGUGGCUGAAGUCCGUGCUUAAAAAGCAUCUCUUGAAAGCAGAAGGAAAAGGAUAUGCUGACACAUCAGUGGUCCUGCCUACCACUUCCCUUUUUCUCCACUCUUCAGUAGUUUAUGUAUGUGUGUGGGCACACUUAUGUAUGUAUUUACACUUUCAGGAUUUAUAACAUUCAACCACAUAUCUAGAUUUCCAUAAUUGUUUAAUCUUAGCUAUUUUUAUCAAGUGUUUUAUUUGGAUUCAUCUUUUGCUAAUAAUAAUUAGCAUGGGUGCUCCAGUCCCUAAAUUCUUACCUGCUUUAGAAUGUUGUCUUUAUAUAUGAAAGAUAACUUGCCUAUGAAUGAAAUUCUUAGAUCAAAUUUUUUUUGCCCCUGGAAACUAAUAGGCACAGCCCCACUGUUCUCUGUCAUUAAGUGUUGCUUUGAAGAAGUUUAAGACACACCUGGUUUUCUCCUUUAUGAGACUUAAUUUCUCAGGCAUCUCUAAGAUGCCCAAGUAAUUUUAUCCUUAAAUACCAGAAAUUACAUUAGCAUAUGUUUUGGUGUUGAUUAUUUUGUAUUAAGUUUUCUCACAUAUAAAGGGCCUUUGGCAACAUACAGAUCAAAUCUUUCUUUAGGAAUGUUUUCUUAUAUAUUACAUCAUUUUUCAUUCCAUUUGUUCUAUUCAGAAAUUUUUUGGUUGUUGAACCUCCUUUGUCUGCUAUAUCUAUCAUUUCCUUUAUAAUAAAUUUUAUAGUUUUAUCCUAAUUUGGUUUGUGAGAUUUAUCUUCCACAAUUUAAUUUCUCAAUUCUGAUCCCCAUGACUUUAUUUUCAGGAGUAUUCAGUUGAACAACACAGAGGUUAGAGGCACAAAUCCCCCGCAAAGAGCUGAAAAUUCAUAUGUAACUUUUGACUCCCCGAAAACUUCAUGGAAGCCUUACCAAUUAUAUGAACAGUCAAUUAAUGUGCAUUUUGCGUAUUAUAUGUAACAUAUACUGUAUUAUUACAAUAAAGGAAGCUAGAGAAAAUGUUAUUAAGAAAAUUCUAAGGAAAAGAAAAUACAUUUAUAGUGUUAUAAAAAAAAGUGGUUUGCACAGUUCAAAUCCAUGUUAUUUAAGGGUCAACUAUAUAUUCUAAUUUUUAUUGCCUUUAAGGGGGCUUCCAAGUCUAUAAUGAUUUCUACUUUUUCCAUUUUUCCCGAGUUAUCCAGCUCAGUUUUCAUUUUAUGUCAUUGUACCACUUUUUUGAAUUGUCCUUUGAUUGUUUUCAAGAGGUCAUGUUGUCUGUAAUUUCUUUGAGACUCUGGAGAAUUAUUUUUUUGAACACUUCCUAUGUUUCUCUGUGCCAUCCUUCGUCCAAUGCAUACUCUUCAUUUGUCUUUCAUUUUCCCUUUUUCCCCGAGUUUUAUGUGUAGGUCAUAGUUGGGUUUUUCAUGCUCAUAAGGUAAACUUUCUUAAGGACAGGCUAUUUCUUUUUGUUGUUUAUUUGUGCUCUGGCUUCUUCAAGCCUCUCUGAAAUUAAUAUAUAAUCUGAUUAUCAUCAAGAGUUCUUGUAAUACUUGCAUCAUGAAUAUCUUGAGGUCAGUGUUAACAACCUUUCAUCCAAUGCUUCAGUGUUUCUCACACAUCAAAGGUUUCCCAAAAACUCCUACCAUGGGCUGGCUGAUUCUCAUCUCUCUUCUUUUCUCAAUGCUUAUCUAUCACACUCCUUCAGGCUCCUCUGAAAGUCUAAUCACUGUUCAUCAAACAUUUGUGGGCUAACCUUUCACUCCACUUCUGUCUCCAAGUGACAUGUGAUGUUUGUGAAAACAGUUUUAGGGCAUUAAUACACCUCUGGAAUGGAGGACUAAGCAAAGGAUCAAAUUGACUCUAUUUUAUUAAACACCACGUUGCUGUUCUUUUUUGGUUAGAGAAGUGGAGAGCGUAUUUUAAAGGUAGUGUCCUUCUUAGUUCUUUAUUUUGACAUGGUUAUAUGUUUUUGUAUCAGGGAUUAUCGUGUUUCUUUUACUCUCCAAUUCAGAUAUUGAGUCAGCAAUGUUCUUUUCUCCUAAUUAGGUUUUAGUUAUAUCUAGGGGCUCCCUAGGUGCCUGUGGCCAAGAACUCUAAUAUAAAUAAAAAUGCAAUAUAAUUUUCUGUUCUAUUAUAAUUAUCAACUGAGUUAAACCUACUGAGAUGACUAUUAAGCUGCAACACAAACUUUGUGAAAUGUGUGGCCCCUGAAAACAUUUUUUACCUCAGUCCUAAAACGACCCAAGUUGUCAGAAAGGGGUAAGCUUACAUAUCACCUUCUUUUUAAAAGCAUACUUUCCCAGACCUUCAGAACUUUUCCAAGCCACUCUGCCCUGGCUGUAGUCUGCCCUAAUUAUCUUUGGCAGUGAAGGAAACUAAGAGGCAUCUCCUCAGCUCCUGCUCCUCAUCUAGAGUGUUGUAACUGAAGACAGAGGCAGAUAAAGGACUAUUCUUCUAACUAGAACAAGUUUGGCUUGAGUUAUUUUAUUUUUUCAAGUAUUAUAUUCUCAAGUAUCCUGCAAACAUUCUUUCCCUGUAUUUCUGUGGUGCCCAAACAAACAGGAACAUCAUAGAUAAAAGGGGGUUUUAAAACAAUAACCACAAUCAUACAACAUGGUAAGUAAAUAAUAAUAUAUUGCAUAUUUGAAAGUUACUAAAAGAGUAGAUCUUAAAAUUCCUCAUCGUGAAAAAAAAUUUUGUAACUAUGUAUGAUGACAGAUGUUAACUAGACUUACUGUGUGGCGAUCAUUUGGUAAUGUAUACUAGUACUGAAUCAUGUUGUGUACCUUAAACUAACAUGUUAUAUGUCAACUGUACCUCGAUAAUAAACAAUUAUAACAGGCUAAGGAGACAUACUGUUUUCACGACUGACAAAACUGAUAGCAUUCAUCCACUUUUGUAUCUCAUCUUUCAUGUACUUCCACAAUAUAGGGAGGCUCCAAGUAAAACACUUCUUUGCUUUACAAUCAGGCUGAACUUAUUCCUUAAAUCCAAACUGUGGCUUCCAUGUUUUAUGCUAUAUUAUGGUCUAUGAUAUUAGUAUUAAAUCAGACAUAAACAAUUAUAGCCAUUGACAGUUAAUCAUCAUACAAAGCUAUCAAAUAUGUAAGUCCAUAUAGUUCAUGGUAUUUUUUUUAAAAAACUAAGAAUAUCUAAAAUAUUUACAAAACAAAUGGUUUUUAGUAGCUCUACUGGUUUGUAAUACUGUAAUGUACUUUAUUUUCCAGCAUAAUUAAUACAUUUUAAAUAUCUGUUUCAGCUCAAGACUUAAAAUAUUAACAAAUAUUCUUUCAGGGAAAAUACCAUUAAAGCAAGCUUAGAAACUCUAACUCAGUAACAUUUUACAGACAAACUGCAGUUAAGUAAAACAAACAAAUAAACAAAAUAACAGGCCUCAUGUAAUUUUGCUUACAGGGAAACCCAUUCCAAGAUUCUAAUGAGCAUUCCAAGCACACAGUGAGAGAGAACCCUUAUCUUUGUGAAUGACUUCAAAGUAUAAAGCUUGGGUUUGAAUUAACUAACAUCUAUUAUUCAACAGUUCAGUUCGACAGACAUUUACUAUACAUAUAGCACAAGGCACUGAGUUAGGUGGUAUGAGGUAUAAACAGACAUAGAAGACAGGCCUCAAGGAGUGAACAAGCCAGUAACUAGGAGAUAAAGCAUGCGUACAGGUCACUGCAAUAGCAGACAGAAAGUGGUGAUGCUAUGAAAGGUAAAAACGAAAGGCUGGGUUAGCAGAGAAGCCGGAAGAUUCACUUUUAGCUGGGAGUUAAUGGAGAAGGCUUUGUGUAGGAGGGAGCAUUUGAGUUGAACCUCAGAGGAUAGGAAAGAUGGGGCAGGGACCUAGGAAGGGCACAGCAUGAUCAAAGUCUUGCAAAUGUGAAAGGAGUAGAGAGGUUUUGAACAAAUGGAGCAUAGCUUGUCCAUGGGAAGACGUGUUAAGGUUGGAAAGAAGCUAAUGUUUACACCUGAAAAUGGAUUGGGGUUUAUUCACGUAAGAAAAAGUGGUUUUCCAUGUUCCCUGUGCAUUCAGAAUCCCUCUGGAGAUCCAGUUAAAAUUCCAGUUCCAAGGCCCAUCCCAGAUACUGGUCUGUGCAUGUGCAUUUUCAGUGAGCACUCUAGAUCGCUCUGAUCUGUGGUCCUUAGAACUACACUUUGUGAAAUACCUGUGUGGGACCUGGAAAGCAGUUCUUCUGAAUUUAGAAUAUAUUUUUAGGUAAUAGAAACUUUGCAUGUUUUUUGAACAGGGAAAAUUUGGUUACAGAAACUCUGGUUGUUUCGAUUUGUUUAUGGCACUAAAUAUUUUUUUUCUAUUAUGAAAGCAGAUAAUGAGCCCUUAAAAGGAUAUUGAUAAAAUGUAAUCUCUCUCUCUCUCUCUCUCUCUCUCUCUCACACACACACACAAACAGCCUACACCUCCAGAUGUAAGAAAUUUCUCUUCUACCAAAAAGAGUGUUCAGAAAAUAAGCUGUGCAAGCCCAAGAAUUCUGCAGUUUGAAGUGUCUGUAUUCAGAAGCAGCGUGAAACAUCAAAUGCUCUGCACAUCAGUAGGUUUGGGUAGAAGAGAAAUUUAAAUAAGGGAUGAACUACGCUGUGAAGCAGUAAGAAGGACUUCUAUGUAAUCUGACCUGUCAGUGUUAAGUUGAAAAGGGGUGUGCUCAUGCUUACAUAAAUCUUCAUGCUGCUUUUACUAAUUAACAUGUGUAAAAAUCAUAGGAAAAUUUUCCACAGGAGAAGGUGAUGCCUCUCCUUACCCCUUUAUAAUUCAUUUUUCUUCUAAGCUUUUUUAAUGGUGGCUGGAAUCCUGCAGUAGGAAUCACAUUCUUGAUUUUUUGACAGCAUUGCCACAUUUUCAUCCUUUUGGUGUUUCUUAAUUUCCGACUCUGCAUUUUGACAGCUCAACCCUGUUGAUUAAUGCCUUGUAGGAACCCCUAUAUGGCCUGCCUGUUAGCGAUCUAAUUUUGUGCUGGAAUGCCUGGGCUGGUAUGUUGAACCGAUUCACCACCCAGGUGGCUACAUUUGGACUAAAUGAGCUGUGAAGGGUUUCAUCUUUGCCCAUCACAGUCUUCCUUAGCUGAGCCCCACAGUAUGCAGCCACCGCUUCGACAUGAUUUGUCACAACCCAUCAAUAGAAAAUAAAUUAUUGCCAUUCUCACUUGUCAAUGGGCUUGUCUUCACUUCGGCUGGCCUAAUGAUUGGAAGCUCAAAGGGAACAUUUCCCAUCUUUGUGGAGCAUGAUUAUGACCGAAUGCACUGCUCCCCUAUGCAUCUUGGCCAGUAAAAACACGUAGGGAAAGCAAAUUAAUUGGCUGUUUUGCGCCAGUGAUUAGAACAUUACGCUCGAAGUCUGCAGAAACUGAUAUUAGGCAAGCAAGAUUAGGUCGGUUCUGACUUUUAUUUGCUUAGUGCAACAUGAUUAGCAACUGCUUCAUUCAAGGUUAGUGCUCUUGCUGCUGAAGAAAAUCUUCAUAACAUAAUGAUGCUGCAUACCUUUAAGCUGAUAAGCAUGUUCCAGGCAGAAAUCAAAAAUCUCUUUGGGAAAGGAAGCAAAUGAGGAGAUGUAACAGAGAACUCAUCAAAUGGCUUUAGAGCCAUUCUUAUGUCUGGCACUUUUGAAAAUUAUAUUCCUAGGAAACCCGCUCUGCAAGCUAUAUUUGCAGAAUGUAGAGAUGGUAAUUGUGUCAGUUCACGAGACAAAGAAUAAAAGUACCCAAGGAGCAACACGAAGUAGAAGGUGACACCUUUCAAUGAACUAACUAAAAAUGAGCUUGCUUUAAAAGAAACCGAAACUCUUCUUUUUUACAAACUACAGAAAGAGCAGGAAGAGCAAAGGAUACAAUGGCAGGGCAUCAAGUUAGACCUCAUAAUUAAAAUCAGAGAUACAGUAGAUCAAAGAGGAAACUGUAUUUAAAAAAUUAGGUCUAGGGUGUGGAUUUGAGUUUCCCAGUUAACAGCUUUGCCUGCAGUAUAAUGACAAGGGGCUUUAUCUAACAGAACAAUAAACAAAGAUGCAGUGUACAAGUAAAAGAAUGCCUGACACUUUAAUUAUUUUAAAUAUGGCGUUGUUUUAGAUUUGGGCCAUGUCUACAAAACUAAGCAGUUUUUUAUGAUUGCCCUAUCUUAUCUACCACCACCACCUAGGAAUGAGAGAGGGAAACAUACUGUGAAUGAAAAUCAAAAUGUGAGUUCCCAACUUCCACUCUCUCUGGCCUUCUUAGUAAAUCUUUUGCCAUCUCAUUGUUUGUUCUUUAGCCCAGAGACAGAUGCCCCAGGAGUACAACGAAAUCUGCAAAGGAUACACACUUUAGAAAUACUAUUAAGUGUACUUUCAUGUUUGUUUAAUGUAGCUCAGGUCUCACCUCUGCCACAGAACUUGACGCAUGUGGUUUAAGAACACUAAAAUGCUUCUGCUCAGUACCAACAGAACUGAGGGAUGCAGGGAACUUUUUCCCUACAUCAUAAAUAUUUUUGUUUACCAAACCUUUAGCAUUUUCUUCCUCUUUUCCUAGCAUGAGUUACUGUCUUCUGAUCUUCGGAGACAUAAGGUUCUUGAGCUCCCAAGUCAACCUCUUUGUCUUCUGGAUUAAGGUGACAUGUCAUCUUGGAGAACUCCUCCUUUCACAGGAAUAUGAAUGUUUUCUAAUGGGAGGCAUUUAAAAUGCCUUAGUUGAAGACUGAUUCAAAGAAAAGCUCUUUUGGAUUCAUCUCAACAUCUAUCAGACAAUCGACAUCUUUGAAGGAGACUUGACAUGAAGGCACAAAAGUCACCCUGCUUCAGCUGGGCCAACCUAUGGGUAAUGUUUGAAGUCAGUGGAAGCUUUGCAUUUUGGGAAGGCCUAUCCAGGUGUUAAUAAAUAUGAGAAAUGGGCUCAGAGCUGUGUGUAAAUGAAUAGGUUGCAUGCACUUGAAGGCAGUCUUACAGGAACACAUUGAGAGAUCUGGCAUUCUUAAAAUCAAGCAUAUGUCAUAUCAACAUUCCUAGUACAAAGUAUUUUGUUACUGUUUCUGUGCUCUAAAUAGCCCCAUGCAAAGGCACAUCAUUGAACCAAAGCAUAUGGAGGCGGCUAUUCAGUUAUGCUGAGCUGUGCUUCAGUAUCAAAUCACUACCGCCUUCCUCACCUUUUUCCACACAUUUCCAGAAAUGGAAAUUUCUGCUCAGAAAUUCUACUAUAGCAAAGAAAGAAGUAAAUACAUGAGGGUGGAUUCCAUUUCUCAAGACAUAUCAAUAUGAACCAGUGCUAUUGUCUGUUUCCUGCUGAAUCAAUAAAACAUAGGCACCUAUGCCUUAAGGAAACAGUAACUCUUUAAAUUGCCCUUUAUAUUUACAAUUACUUAAUGACUGUAUUUUGCCAAAAAUAAAGGUCAUUAAAAUCAUCUUGAAGCUUCACUUAAAUUUCAGAAGUAGCCUACAACUUGUACAGUCUUUAACUAUGUUCCAUUUAACACAUUUAAUAGAUGUAAAAGCUCACAAGUGAUGAUAUAAAGGAUAAUUUACGCUUGCAAUGCAUUUUUGUCCAAUUAAUAGAUUGCCUGCGUGUUGCAUAUUUUGCAUGACAAAAGAGCAGAAUAUUAAACUGCCAUUCAUAAUGAAAAUGCACUUUGCAAAUUAAAAGUGCCGAAACAGAAAUUUUUCACCCUGUUUAGGAAAUAAACAGUCCUUAACCAAUUAAACUGCAUUGUAAUAAUUCUAUGAUUUAUUGCAAGUUGUUUAACUUUCAAAACUCGGCUAACCCAUAUUAAGGUCACAAUCCAUCAUGUCUUGCUUGGAAAGCCAGCAAAUAAUGGCUGUUGUAUUAGCUGCUUUUGAUGAUAGUAUGAAAGAAGUAUUAGCACUUGUCAACAAAACUGCUUACAACAUAACAUUAGCAUGCAUGGGCUGCUGUACCUAUUUAUUAUUCUGGCAGCUUCACACAUAUUGUUACAAGCUUAUAAAACAUUUUGUCGGGUGGAAACCGAAUGUACACUGUUUGGUUUUCUGAUAGACUGGCAGCAUAAAUGUCUGGGCUGACUUAGUUUAGUUUAAGUGUAAAUAGAGACACAAAUUCUUCAACCUGUUCUCUUAUUGAUACUGAAAAGUGCUGAAUUAUUCAGCAUCCAACUCUUCUGUUUGUGUCUAUCACAGUUAUCAAUUACCCAUCAGUCUUCUUGUCAAAACAGAAUGGAUUAAUCUGGCUGAAAAUAAGACAAAUAAAUGGAUACUAUAACAGGGGUGCGGGGUUGCCAGACUGUCAAAGGGAAAUCCAGGCAGUGACAUUUGCCGUCAAAAAUGGGAUCUCUGGCUUAAGUGAGCAAAUGAUUCCCCUUUGCGAGCCAAGAAUGCACUUAGCUCACCGUAAGUAAAUUAAUCUGCCUUCUUUGACUGCUAAUGCAUUAGCACUGAGGUAAUAGUUCCAUUGCUGGAAUUCCUUUACAUUUAAAUAAUUUUGGUCAUCAUUAUUGUUUCUCAAGGAAAUGCAGAUACUUUAUCUUGGUAGAGAGGCCUGCCUGGUAAAUAAAUGAACCCAUUUAACAAUGAAGUUAUUGCUGAUAGUUUUGUGCCACUUCAUAGCUCUCAGCUCAUGUGAUACUAAGUAACUCUUUGCACAGAUGGCUGGUGGAACCCAUCCAGCAUCUGCAAAGUCCAUCCCUGUUUUCUUUCCCAAACAUUUUAUUUGGAAAUCUUGUUUGGCAAACUUCCCGAGACUCUGCCUAGCUGUUCAAAGUACAUAUUUCCAAUCUAUCUCAUUUGGCCCUUCUAUAAAAAAAGAGCCAGCAAAGUGCCUUCUUAUUUGGCACAAAAAAGGCAGCCGCCGACUGAAGCAAGUUUUAGGUUCCUGGCCAAAAAUUUACAAGAAUUUUAUCUUAGAUGCUUCUAUACUGGACUGUUUUACACAGUCAUCAUUAACAUCUGAAGCCGUCACAUUGUGACAGGAUCAAAACCCCCAAUCUGUAUCAACUGAUAGCUUCACUUUGCCAAAAGCUCCCACUUGUUCUUAUUUUCCCAGACAUCUGCACCCCAGCUUUUGUGGACACGGUUCUUACUUACACUGUGGGAUGGUGAGGUAUCUAAGGUGAGCUACCUGCUAGAAAAUUCAUCCACUUGAUGAAUGAAUACAUUAUUUUUGAAUGAAAUAAUCAUCUUUUGUUUGUUUUGCCAAAAGACGGUGUAAAGAAUAAUUUCAAGCAUUUAAAAACCAAAACCCUUCCUAUAGUUGGGGAGUUCAAAAGAGGCCGCGGUAACAAUUACAUUCUAAGCACAACUGUCACAGUUCUCUAAAGACUUUGACAGACUGGAAAUUUUGGUCUCACAUUCCCAGAACAUGACCUCAAAUUUCUCCUCAAUGUAAAUCACUUUCCCAGAACUUCAGCAUUUAAGGGAAAUGCACAUUGGCCUGUUGUGCAUUGGCCUGAUUCAUCGUUGCUAAAUCUCAUCCGCUGGUAUAUAAUCCCAAAAUGACUUCAUGAAGGCAGCUACUGAACAUGUGCAAACACUGAACCUUCUCUUGAAAUGAGGCAGCAUUUUUGUUGCUAGUCGAUUUACAGUUUUACUUUGUCACUCUCGUCCUUCUUUUCUUUUUAAAUAAGUAACUGCUGGGCCACCUCGGUGGCUCAGAUUCAGCAUCCAACUCUUGAUUCUGGCUCAGGUCAUGAGCCCAAAGUCAUUAGACUGAGCCCUGUGACGGGCUCUGCAUUGAGUGUGAAGACUGCUUGGGAUUCUCUCGCACUUCCUCUCCCUUCGCCCCUCUCUCCCUUGUAUGUGUCUCCUCUUGCUCUCUCUCACUCUCACUCUCAAUACAUAAGUAAGUAACUCCCUACUACAGAAAAGUAGCAUCGUACAAAAUUUUGCAUGGCUAGCAACUAAGUUAAUUGACAGGUGUAUAUCAUGAACUUUUUUCUACAUGUCAUUUCCCAUUCUUUGAGGAACUCUUCAAAAAUAUAUGCCUGCCAUCUCAGAUCCAGUUUGUCCAAGUCUAGACAUUCUCUCCCACUGGUUCCCUUUUACCAAAAUCCCCCAUCAGUUGCUAAGCCCUACACGGUCUGCCUUUACAAUGUCUGUUAUUUUCUCUUCAAUUAUGACUGUCACCAUGCUUGUGCAGUCCCUGCCGAGUCCUUCAUACGUUCAUGCAUGUACCAGUUCAUUGAUUCCACAGUUCUGUGAGGGCCUAAUACAGGUAGUCUCUCUGCCUCAAGUCUUUUCCACACACCUCCCACUCUGGCUGCCUGCCCUCAGCGUGAAGUGCCCUCUGGCCAUCCUGCCCACCCUUUAUGUCUCAGUUCAAAGGCAACCUCUUUGAACAUUUUUCCUACUCCCUUACCCAUGUGUUAUUUCUUAUGUCUUCGAGUCUCUUGAGCAUUUGUCUCUCUCCUUUAUCACAACAUGCUAGAAUUCCUACUCCUGCCACCUCCCAGCUAUGUGACCGUGGGAAGUUAUGUAACCAAAUGAGGCCUCAGUUUCUCCUCUAAAAUCGGACAGAUUAUUACUCCAUAGGGUGUGAGAUUAAAUGAGGUAAUGCAUGGAAAAUACUUAGAACAAUGCCAGUGAACAUUCAAGUUCUUGUUAUAUUCUUAUAUUCGGUAAGGACUGAAAAAUACUUGUUGUGACAUUUGUAUGUCGAGAGAAAACAACUGUAAUUGCCUUGGGUGUUUUUGAAGGUCUUAAAGCUACAUUUACUUACUGUCCCAGGUAGAGGACCAGGACAUCCAAUUCUGAGCUGGUCACUCUGGAGUCAUACUGCGUGUCUUUGCAGCCUGGCCCUUACUAGCUCUUUUUUUUUUUUUUUUUUAAUGCAAAGUCAGGCAGUUUAAAGUUUCUAUACUUCAUAGAUAGUUGUUAAGAUCAGCUGAAAAUAAAAGGCUUAGCAGUGCCUGAUCCAUAGCAAGACCUCCAUAAGUGUAGCCUGUCAUUACACUAGAGGGGUUUCAAAAUGCUCCGUGAUCUAAUUCUAGGUGGUGAGAGAGGACCAUCAAAAUGAAUGUAUAAUUCCCCGAAUUACUGUCUCAUCCUUCUUAAAGGCUUCCUGAAUAACACUUCUCCCAAACCCAGUCUGUCAUGUAUCUCCCAGACUGUCUAAAAACUACCAAAUUAUAUCACUCUCCAAACAGGGGGUGAGUCUUAUGCUCCCUCUACUGGGACACUGACCCCUCUUUUCUAGCUUUGAGAGUGCUUCCUAAUCAUCUUCUCUCCUCUGAAAUGUUAUCCCUCAUUUUCUCCCUAAGAUGCAUCAUUUAUCCUCUAACAGUUCAGUUAUUGUCCUCCUGGGUCCAUAAACUCUCAAAAAGGCCAAUCUUCCUGGCCGUGUAUCUUCUCUCAUGUUGAUCACUCCCUUCCCCACCCCUCACAUCUGGAAACAUCCACCCUAUGGCCAUCCAUCUUCCAUAUUUCUAAGUUUAAGAAGCUUGCUUCUGCCACAGACUUUCCAACUAACUUAGUCUUCAAAGAUCUCUCUCUCUCUCUCUCUCUCUCUGUCUCACUCAUCUAAAUCUCUGAAGCAUUUAUAGGUUUUACCACACAAUUUAACUAUUAAUUACAAAUUGUCUUGCAGCAUUUGCUAUGUGUUUUCCUCUCCAGAGAUAUUUCACUAUCUCUCUUGUUUCCUAACUCUCUCUCUUUCUCUUUUUCUUGGCUAAUCCACAAAGCUUUCCGGAUAAUCUUCCUGUUCUGUCAUGAAGACCAUGCCCUUUGUGUGCCAACUGUCCUUGCUAUUGGCCAAAUCUGUUUUUAUGUACUAGAAAGAAUUUUCCCUCCUUUCAAAUUAUAUUUCUGCCACUUCUUAGAAUAAAUGACAUCUUUAUUCGACAGUUGGCCUUACCUGAUUAUGGCAGCGCUAUGUUUUCCGGAAGAAGCGUGGACUUCAAAGUAUUAGAGGUUAAGGUAUGAAUCUUGGUUUUGCCAUGUAACCUUGGGCAAGUCACUUUUCUGAGCCUCAGUUUCAUUCAAUAUGAAAAUACUAAUACCUAGCUCACAAAAAAGAUAUGAGGAAUAUAGGAGAUAAAUAAUAUAAAGUACCUGAGAAAUAAUAGGGAAUCCAUUGUAGAUACUUAACCCUUCCAAUUAAUAUCAAACCAUAUUAACAGUAUUUACCGUGUAUCCUCAUUUAUAUACAUAUUGAUACAAUCAUGACUGUCUACAUGUUUAUGCUGGAUGCUUAUGCAUACAUUUAACAUCUUUACAAAACUAAUUUUUAAGAGUAGCAUACAGUAUUUUUAAACUUAGAACUAAGUGCUUUGUCACGAAACGUGUAGAAGCCAUAACUUACUAGUUAUUCAAAGCUGAUUAACAUCAGAAAUUACCUUUCAAAUGAAACACUGGUCUCAUUUCUCCCUCGCAUUUAAGGAAAUAGAAGGCCAAAGCCUAAAAAGUCCCUCGAUUAAGGAUAAAAUGCAGAGGAGUGCAACUACCAUACACAUGACUUGCCUUCUUUUGCAUUCUAGAAAUGUAUUUCUAGAUUUUUUUUGCAUUUUUUGCAUUCUAGGAAUGUAUUCCAAGAUAAUGAGGCAGUGUUUUGCAAGGUAUCUAAUGAAAAUUUCCUUUAGAGCAGUCACAAUUAUCACGCCAAAAUGAAUCUCAUAACUGAAAUUACCUCCAAAUUUUUAAUAAUUCCCUCAGCAAACACUUGUUCUGGUUGGGUAUAUCCAGACUUUAGUUGAGAAAUGAGUGAUUUAAAACUAAAACGUGCUUUAAGCAGUAUUUUUGAGUAGAGAAAUCACAAUAAAGUGUCAAAUUCCUACGUUUAGAUAGAAAGUCAAUUUGAACCUUAUUUUCUUUUUCUCUUUCUUUCUUUCUUUCUUUCUUUCUUUCUUUCUUUCUUUCUUUCUUUCUUUCUUUCUUUCUUUCUUUCUAAUUUGUGAGGACAGUAUAAAUUGUUCAACCUAGUCCAUUUACUGGCAUGUCUGCUUCUAGCUACAGAUAUCUUCAUCUUCUGAGGGGACGAUCGAACCUCUGAGUCAGAGUUAGCAUGCAGGGGUUAAACUACCUCUAUGGGCAGGAUAGAGACAGAAACAAUCUAAAAUUUUAUAUGACUAAUAUAUGACUGAAACGCCAGUUUAUCACAUACGGUGGUAAAGGACAAGCUCUAUCUUCAGGGAUUCAUCCCUGAGUAUAAAAUAAGUCUUGAGAAACCACAAUUUUUACCAUUCGCUUUUGGGAGAAGGGGAAGCAGGGAAUAUUUUACUGCUCCCUCUUUAAACUCUUAUUAGAAGGGCUGCUGAGAAGUUCUGACUCAGCAACUUCCCCAGUUAUCUGGUCUUUUAAAAAGGUUCCAGUGUGACCUCAACUCUGCACAACACAGAUUUAUAAUCAGUCUUCUGUUUGGAAAGCCAAAGCUUUAGAGAAACUGAGUGAAUAAUGUCAAAAUAAUGGUAUUUCAGCUCAACAAUGAGAUUUUCUCCCAUAUAUAUAAAAACAGAUGCUGGGAACAAUUUUCAGGAGCAUUUUAUUGCUUUGAUGGUAUAAUAAAAUAUGAGGUUAUCAUAACAGUGAGCUACCUUUUCUCCUGGAAGGAAAAGGUACAGCCAAGUAUUUUCCUAAGUGGCAAAGUGGACAAGAGCUUCUCUCUGUCCUGUGUACAUGGUGUCUAGUCUCAGAAGUGAGAUUCCCAGAACAACAAUUUCUAUCAUGUUGUGAAAGAGGUUAAAAAUGUUCUUUCUUUAAAGACUAAUAGCACUGACAAGCUUAUUCUAGCAAACCAAGCCCCCUCUACUCCUUCCCUCAGGCUCUCUAAUUCACCCCCACCUGAAUUGGGUUUUGGGGAGGAGGGCUGGGGCACGUGGGAUACAAAUGGUAAAUAAGUAAAUGAAACUCCAUAGGAAGGCUCUUGAACUUGAAAACUGUUCCAUAUUUACUAUUUUGUUUAUCUUACAGUAAUUUUAUAGUAACUGUCCCCCUCAUUCCUAACUAUUCUAGAACUCUGCCAUAUUGAUGAUGACUUCAUAACAUGUACAUAUAGCAAAUGUUAGUUUUCUCAUAAUCCCCAUAACUGCUCUGCGAGUGAGAUAUUAAUGUUUUUGCACCUGAGCAAAACUGAGGCUCAGAGAGGUUAAGUGACUUGCCCAAGGUCACACAGUUAGCAAGUAGUGAAACCAAGAUUCAAACCUAAAACUUUAUGAUACCACAAUCCAUGCUCCUUCCAUACAAUGUCACAAUACCUCAAUUGGGAAAGGCUGGCUGUAGAAUAAAGAUGUCAUUUAUUCCAGGAAGUGGCUGAAAUACGGUAUGAAAGGAAUUUGAGCAUUUCCUCUGGUUCAUUUUCCCCCUUGUCUCCUAUAUCUUUUUAUUUUCCUCACCUCUUCAUUUUCCCCAUUUUUAUAAUUAAGUAAAAAGAUUUGUUCUUUGAGAGAGAAAAUGGUGGCAAAUGUUGUGCAGUUUCCUACUUGGUAGAAUGUGGGGGAAGCUUCUGAAUGGACCCUGACUAAAAAAGAAAAUACCUUCCAUUCACCUGCCAUAGCUGCUGAAUUCCCACCAUUAGAGAGGCACUCCUUUGGAUUAAAUGAACUUUGUCUCUCAAAGUUGUCUUGGAACAAGUAAGUUUAGCAUGUUAUUUACUAUCUUCCCCAAUAUUUAUGCACCCACUGUAAUCAAUCAUAGAACAUGCAACUUUUGGUCGCUAAUAAAGAAGCAUGAAAGGUUUAAAUGAGUCCUUUGUAGCAGAGAACAGAACAAGUUCUUUGAGAAAGGAACACUGAAAGGAGUAGAAGCCAGGAAGGAGUAUGGCGCUCUGUGCAAAGUAAUCUUGUAGCAUGUCAGCCUUUUAUUUAGGGUUGUGCGGAUCUAGGGGGAAAAGAGACAUGUGCAGACUUUUAAAUAAGGUUUAAUUUCAGUUAGGAUGCCAGGAGGCCUUCCCUGACUCCCCAGUAUCAGAUUACAUGUCUCUUCUGUGAGCAUUUGUAUAUACUUGUAUCUCCCCUUAUCAGAGCACAUCUUAUUUUGCUAUCAUUGUUUGUCUGAUUCCAUCAUUAGACCAUAAAUUCCUUGAGAACAUUCGUUCAUUCAAGGACUAUUUCCAGUGCCAGUGUCAAAUUCGGGAGAAAAAAAAAGCUAUAGAGAUUACAAUAACCAAAGGGUUAGAUUUAUUUUUUCACUUUGUAUUUGGAGGUCUUGUGUAGCUUGUGUAUAAGAAAAAAAAAAUCAAAACAUGCUUCUAUUUCAGGGCUCUGGAGAUGAGUAGAUAAGAUGUAGUUAUCUUUCAGUAGAAGGCCAUGGACAGUUACUGGGAAAAUAUAAAGGGAGAUAAAUGAAUAUAUUUAAGAAAUAUUUUUGAGGUAAGACUGAAACUCAAGAAUUUUUCAUUUUGGCUAAGUUACUAAGAACCUAUUUUAUGAUCCCGCUACUGACUCAAAAAAAAAUGUGUCGAUAGGUUCAAAAUGUUCAAAGUGUGGAUCCAAGUAUAGAAGAUUUUGAAAAACCAAAGAAAGCAAUAAAAUGGAAGAAAUGCAACAUACAAGUGGAAGAACGGUAAACUGAUGAAUUUUAGCGUUUUGCUAAAAUGCCAAAGAUUACCAGAUAAGAAGCAGUUUGAUAACGAUCUUUUAAAAUCAAUCACCCUUCCCAAAGAAACGUUAAGAAGCCGACAACAAAAGACCCUCCUACAGAAGAUUGUUUUGAAAAUUCAUCAGCUAUAAUUGUGAAAUCACUUCUUUAUCCUGAUCAGAAAAAUCCUGCUAUGAAAUAAACCCCGGCUGACCAGA